UUGGAGGGCGAGUCUGGUGCCAGCAGCCGCGGUAAUUCCAGCUCCAAUAGCGUAUAUUAAAGUUGUUGCAGUUAAAAAGCUCGUAGUUGAACUUCGGGGUUUACCCAUUGGUCAGGCUUAAUUGUCUGCACUGGUGAGAUAAAUCUCUACCUUCUGAGGAACUUUCAUGCCAUUUAUUUGGUGUGAUUGGAAAUCAGGACUAUUACUUUGAAAAAAUUAGAGUGUUUAAAGCAGGCUAACGUCUGAAUAUAUUAGCAUGGAAUAAUGAAAUAGGACGGCUUGGUUCUAUUUCGUUGGUUUCUAGGAUCACCGUAAUGAUUAAUAGGGAUAAUUGGGGGCAUUAGUAUUCAAUUGUCAGAGGUGAAAUUCUUGGAUUUAUUGAAGACUAACUACUGCGAAAGCAUUUGCCAAGGAUGUUUUCAUUAAUCAAGAACGAAAGUUAGGGGAUCGAAGACGAUCAGAUACCGUCGUAGUCUUAACCAUAAACUAUGCCGACUAGGGAUCGGACGAAGUUAAUUUUAUAAUGACGCGUUCGGCGCUUACGGAAAC
rnacentral:rRNA from 1 species